GACAGAGGGUGCAAACGUUGUUCGGAAUUACUGGGCGUAAAGAGGGUGUAGGCGGUGCUCCAAGUCUGUUGUGAAAUCUCCCGGCUUAACUGGGAGGGUGCGGCGGAAACUAGAGUGCUAGAGGGUGGGAGAGGUAAGCGGAAUUCCUGGUGUAGCGGUGAAAUGCGUAGAUAUCAGGAGGAACACCUGUGGUGUAGACAGCUUACUGGACCACUUCUGACGCUGAGACACGAAAGCGUGGGUAGCAAACAGG
rnacentral:rRNA from 1 species